rnacentral:lncRNA from 1 species
GUCAUGGGUUACACUAUGUUUGGGGAGUCAACGCAAUCGCAAUUUACUCUCAACAUGCCACAUAAUCUAGUGGCUUCGAGGGUUACUGUGUGGACUACGGUAACUACUAUAUUCUUUUCUUUAUUAUUAUUUCUCAAUGAAUGCGAACUUUAACUAGUUGGUCUAUAAAAUGCAUGAAAUAUUGAUCUUUAUUUCAUUUUCUUAUAAAUCAUUGAAGGUUUUUCUGCUUGCAUACAUGAAGGUACAUCUUAAAAUUUAAAAAAGAAAUCAUAAAAUUCUGUAUCUCUUUAAUUGAGAAAAGGGAAGAAAAGAAAAAAAAAUCAUUGGAAAAUUACAUUAUCAGAAACUUUGAUUAUAAUUCAUAAACAAGAGAUUGUACUAAAAACACUAAUGUUGUUGUUUUUUGUGUUGCAUAUAUUAGACUAAUUUGAUCAAUAAUAUGAACGUAAAUAAAACUGUGAGACAUGCAUAUUUGAUAAUUUAUCUAAGUAAAAAGGGAAAAAAUGUAUUCUCACAACAAUAAAAUCAGCAAUAUCUUUUAAGUUUAUUUAUUAGAUGUUCAAAUUAAGAUGUUGACUGUUUAAUUGAAGUAUUUGUCUUAAAAAUAAUUACAUCCUGAGAUAAUGGUCGAGUUGGUUACUAAUGUUAUUUCAUAGACUUUUGGUUGCAGGUGGUGAACCCGAUUACUAAAUAUCCUUUAAAUGACAUUUUCUAUUUUGAUCAUAUUGUACUCCAUUGAAGAACUUUGUUUAAUGGUGAUACUCUUUGUUCCUGUAAGUUUGAUUCAAAGAUUUAUUACAUUAUCAAAAAAAUGCUUCAGCUUCUUCAAUUAGUUGAACUUUGAUUGGAAGUCAAAUGAAUUUUGUGGUAAUUCCAAAUUUUCUACUAAAACUAUCUUAAAAAACAUUUUUAAUUCUAAAUUUUAAAUAGAUGGUAAUGAUUAUGGUCUCUUCAUAGUAGCGUGAUAUUUGGAAGUUUGCACACAAAUUCUUAUGGAAAUUUUUGUUAUCCUUAACUUAUGAAAACAUAUGCAUUAACUCUGACUCCUCUGGCACUGAGUUUGGAGGAGUUGAUACCAUCAAACCAAUCAAAGUCGCACUUGUAUGCAAUCAUGAUAAGAACAACGCUGGUUCUUUCUACUCUGUUAGUGGC